rnacentral:rRNA from 1 species
AACGAACGCUGGCGGCAGGCUUAACACAUGCAAGUCGAACGCCCCGCAAGGGGAGUGGCAGACGGGUGAGUAACGCGUGGGAAUCUACCCAUCUCUACGGAAUAACUCAGGGAAACUUGUGCUAAUACCGUAUACGCCCUUCGGGGGAAAGAUUUAUCGGAGAUGGAUGAGCCCGCGUUGGAUUAGCUAGUUGGUGGGGUAAAGGCCUACCAAGGCGACGAUCCAUAGCUGGUCUGAGAGGAUGAUCAGCCACAUUGGGACUGAGACACGGCCCAAACUCCUACGGGAGGCAGCAGUGGGGAAUAUUGGACAAUGGGCGCAAGCCUGAUCCAGCCAUGCCGCGUGAGUGAUGAAGGCCCUAGGGUUGUAAAGCUCUUUCACCGGUGAAGAUAAUGACGGUAACCGGAGAAGAAGCCCCGGCUAACUUCGUGCCAGCAGCCGCGGUAACAC